GUAGUUGUAGGUACAUAGCUUAUGAUGAUGUGCAAAAUAUAGUCGUAGGAAAGGUGGUUCUUAUAUUGAUUAUUGAAUAAUUGCCACAUUAUAUCUUCUCCUUCCUGUAUUGCCUGUUGUAGACGUUAGUUCUAGUUGAAUGAAGAAUCAAAUAUGCCUUCAAUAAGAGGGAAGGCGCCUGGUGCUUUCUUUCAUUUGUUAUUGGCAACUCUAAUUUUGUUUUCUUAUUGCUCUACUAGAUGAUGAUACUGAUGCUUACCCAGAAAAAGAUGCUGAUACUGAAUCUCAUUUUGUGGAAGAUGAGCAACUUGCCAAGGCUCUUCAAGAAAGUCUGAAUAUUGAUUCUGCACCAAGAUAUGAUUAUAGAAAUCUGUUUCCACCCUACCCAUACUAUUAUCCAUCUGGGUAAAGGAUCUGUGCCGGUUGCAAUGCUGAAAUUGGUCAUGGACGAUUCCUGAGUUGCAUGGAAAAUUUUUGGCACCCAGAAUGUUUCCGGUGUCAUGCUUGCAAUUUACCAAUUUCGGAUUAUGAGUUCUCCAUGUCUGAGAAUCGCCCCUACCAUAAAUCCUGCUAUAAAGAGAAGCAUCACCCAAGAUGUGAUGUUUGCAAAAACUUUGUA